AUUGAACGCUGGCGGCAUGCUUUACACAUGCAAGUCGAACGGUAACAGGGUGCUUGCACCGCUGACGAGUGGCGAACGGGUGAGUAAUGCGUCGGAACGUGCCGAGUAGUGGGGGAUAACGCAGCGAAAGUUGUGCUAAUACCGUAUACGUACUGAGGUAGAAAGUGGGGGACCUUCGGGCCUCACGCUAUUCGAGCGGCCGACGUCUGAUUAGCUAGUAGGUGAGGUAAAGGCUCACCUAGGCGACGAUCAGUAGCGGGUCUGAGAGGAUGAUCCGCCACACUGGGACUGAGACACGGCCCAGACUCCUACGGGAGGCAGCAGUGGGGAAUUUUGGACAAUGGGCGAAAGCCUGAUCCAGCCAUGCCGCGUGUCUGAAGAAGGCCUUCGGGUUGUAAAGGACUUUUGUCAGGGAGGAAAUCCCUAGUGCUAAUAACACUGGGGGUUGACAGUACCUGAAGAAUAAGCACCGGCUAACUACGUGCCAGCAGCCGCGGUAA
rnacentral:rRNA from 1 species